GGCGGGCUCUCCCCGCAGUGGACAACCUGGACCCCAACUUCCAGAGCGACCAGCAGAGCAAGCGCACGCCCCUGCAUGCAGCCGCCCAGAAGGGCUCCGUGGAGAUCUGCCAUGUGCUGCUGCAGGUCAGCACGGGCCCGGCCCCAUGCCUCAUUCACCAGGCCCUUAGGCCCCUCCCCUGCCCCAUGCCUCCCUGGUGCCAGCCCUCCUGCCCCCUCACAGGCUGGAGCCAACAUAAAUGCAGUGGACAAACAGCAGCGGACGCCACUGAUGGAGGCCGUGGUGAACAACCACCUGGAGGUAGCCCGUUACAUGGUGCAGCGUGGUGGCUGUGUCUAUAGCAAGGAGGAGGACGGUUCCACCUGCCUCCACCACGCAGCCAAAAUCGGGAACUUGGAGAUGGUCAGCCUGCUGCUGAGCACAGGACAGGUGGACGUCAACGCCCAGGACAGUGGGGGGUGGACGCCCAUCAUCUGGGCUGCAGAGCACAAGCACAUCGAGGUGAUCCGCAUGCUACUGACGCGGGGCGCCGACGUCACCCUCACUGACAAUGAGGAGAACAUCUGCCUGCACUGGGCCUCCUUCACGGGCAGCGCCGCCAUCGCCGAAGUCCUUCUGAAUGCGCGCUGUGACCUCCAUGCUGUCAACUACCAUGGGGACACCCCCCUGCACAUCGCAG
rnacentral:sRNA from 1 species